UACGAAGGGGGCUAGCGUUGCUCGGAAUUACUGGGCGUAAAGCGCACGUAGGCGGCUCUUUAAGUCGGGGGUGAAAUCCUGGAGCUCAACUCCAGAACUGCCUUCGAUACUGGAGAGCUCGAGUCCGGGAGAGGUGAGUGGAACUUACGGUGUAGCGGUGAAAUGCGUAGAUAUCGUAAGGAAGACCAGUGGCGAAGGCGGGUCUCUGGACAGUUCCUGACGCUGAGGCACGAAGGUCAGGGGAGCAAACGGG
rnacentral:rRNA from 1 species